rnacentral:rRNA from 1 species
AGCAGCCGCGGUAAUUCCAGCUCCAAUAGCGUAUAUUAAAGUUGCUGCAGUUAAAAAGCUCGUAGUUGAAUUUCGGGACUAAUAUGUCGGUCGUGCCUCGGUACGUACUGGCUUAUUGGUUUCUCCUUUCUGAAGAACCAUGAUGUCAUUUAUUUGGUGUCGUGGGGAAUCAGGACUGUUACUUUGAAAAAUUAGAGUGUUUAAAGCAGGCUCACGCUUGAAUACAUUAGCAUGGAAUAAUGAAAUAGGACGUUUGAUUCUAUUUUGUUGGUUUCUAGGAUCGACGUAAUGAUUAAUAGGGAUAGUUGGGGGCAUUAGUAUUCAAUUGUCAGAGGUGAAAUUCUUGGAUUUAUUGAAGACUAACUACUGCGAAAGCAUUUGCCAAGGAUGUUUUCAUUAAUCAAGAACGAAAGUUAGGGGAUCGAAGACGAUCAGAUACCGUCGUAGUCUUAACCAUAAACUAUGCCGACUAGGGAUCGGAUGAUGUUAAUUUUUAAUGUAC